CUCUGCACACGGCCCCAGGCUGAGGGGCCGGGGUCGCCAUUUUGAGCCAGGACCUCUGGUCUCAGUGGCCGGGUUCAAGGCGUCUGCGUGCAGAAGCCUGUGAGCCAGGGACACCAGAGGAAGCACAAAGGGAUGACAAAAAGGAUGAGCUUAUCGGCAAAGGAGGUGUGGAUCCAUGGGACACAUGAGAUCAAACUCACAGCCGUGUUGAACUGCAGCUGUGACUCUCCAUGGUUACCCACUUGGCUACCUGGGUACAGUGUUCAUGCAUUUCUACUUGCCACCACCUGCCCCAGAGUUAAACUCAGAUGAUGCAACUGGCCAGUCCUCUGUGAAUCCUCUAACCCAGAUUUUCUCCCCCCUCAGAAUUCCUGAUGUUUUGAGCAGAUGUGUAUUUAUCAUGCAGGCACCAUAGGCAUUGAAGGACGUUUAGUUGCAUCCCUGCUGUCUCUCGGUCCGCAAAAUGAAAUAGCACAUGUCUCUCCCUGAGCUGUGAAGACCAGAACUGCUCCAGCCAUUGCCAGAUGUGCCCCGGGGAAGGGGCAAAAUCACUGUCAGUCGAAAACCACUGUUUUAAUCCUUGCUGAAUGUUAGAGUUACCCUUGAUGCCAUCCCAAUGGAAUCAGAAUCUUUGGGCACGGACCCCAAGUGCCAGCAUUGGAAAAGCUACCCAGGGGUUUUAAACCAUAGCCCAGGUUGAGAAUUUCCAUCCUGAAGCAACUGAUCUAAUAUUUCUAUAGAGCUUCUUAAAGUCCUUCUCAAAUAUUUUUAUAAUCGGGUCCUCCACUUAGCAACACAUGAGCAACUACUACGUAGAAACAAUAUUAGCUGUAAUGUCAAGUACCA